UGCGCUUUUCCAUUUUCCUCUUUCUCUCUCUCUCUUUUCUUCUCCGUUUUUCUUGUUCUUUUUCAUGUCAAAUAUAGUUUAACCUUGUCUGAGUGCGAGUUUCAUCCUUUUUCAUAUUCAGUGGAUGCGGGUUUUGUUUUUCAUCUCUUUUUACUUCUUUUUUCCCCUUUAUGUGUGUGUGUUCUUUCUGUUGGUUCGGUUCAGUUUUCUUUGAUGGUUUUUGUUUUGUUUUGUUUUGUUUGUUAAUUACUUCUUCUACUUCUUCUAACCUGCUUUGUUAGCAAACAGCGAGAGGUUUAGGUUUCUGAGCUCAGCAAAGGACACAUAUACAUCGAACCAAAAAAAGGAAAGAGCAGUUAUUACCAGGACGCCCGUCUCGAUUGUACCAUUGUUGUUGAUUAAUUGUUAUUUUGUAAUUUGUGUGUUCCUUCUUCCUUCUUCUCGGGGUGGAAUUUACUCAACUAUAAAAUCAAAGAAUUGCGGUUUUGCUGUGCACUGUGUGUUUCUGGGAGAUGACAAACAAAAUGAGAUCAGAUUUGUGGCUGUUGCAUUAUCACAAGGAGUAUGUUCUGUGUUAAUGGGAGCUGUUUCGUAUUUGUGGGUUUGAUAUGAAAGAUAGAAGAAAAAAGAACACAAAAAAUUAAUGGAGAAGAAAUCUUCUUAAUCAAAACAAAAAGAGCUACCACAGCACGCCGAUCCGCGCAAAGACGGCCCAGUGUUCGCGCUUCACUUCGUAAGCUAACAAAUAGAAUCUACGGCCACAUGACAUACAUAUAUAUAGAACUAUUAUCAAAGGUAUGUAUAUGUGUAUACGUAUACACGUACGCGCGUGUGUGUGUGUAAGUAUGCUAUGCGUUUAAUGUAAAUGUAAAAUAAUAGCAUUAUUCAUCGCCACAAUUCCGUCAGCCUUACUUAUUUACUUAGAAUAGGAAGUCGAGGGAAACAGAAGGAAAGCGGAAAAUUGAAGAUGAAAAUAGAAAUAGAAAACAAAGAGAGGUGGGAAUAUACAGUGUGGGGUUUUCACGUAAAAACCUAAACCUCCACAAAGAGAAAAACGAACUCUUUCUCCAUUCGUUCAAUCUUGUUUUCUCUCUUUCUCUUCUUCUCCGACCAUAUGUUUUGUGCCGUUUGUGUUCACCUACAUUAUACACCGCUUACUACACUACAACCCUGUUUUGCUACAACAUGUUUUCCUUUGUUUCUGUCUUCUUCUUCCUUUAUUUUUAGUACAAAUAUAUCUCUGGUUGUAUUUUUCAUGUUUUUUGUUUUCCUUUCUUUAUUAUGUUGCUUUUCUUUUUCCUCUAUUCCUUCUUCUAUAUGCUGCCCGUUUGCUGUGUAUUUUAAAUAUUAUUUGUCACAAUAAAAAGUCUUUGUUUAGUUUUUCCUUUCUUUCUUUCCUCCACUUUUCUUCUCUUGAUUUUCGUUUUACUUCAAAUAACCAACAAACGGUGCACCUGACUGAUUGCGCAACGUUACUAUCUCGUUUCUCUGUGUUGCGUUCUGCUUCGGCUUGCACCUCUUCUUGUGGGUCAUUUUUGCUUUGAUAAGAGUAAUAGUGUUCAACGCUUUUUUUUACCACUUUGCACUUCUUUUUCCCUUCACUGCUUACAGGUUGUUGCUAGCUGCACGCUUUUUUUCGUUAUCUUCUUCUGCUUUGUGGUUGCCUGCAAGUCAACUUACUACACUGCGCAUCGUUUUUUUCGCCCCUUUUUUCGGACUAUGCUCCAGUGCAGUUUUUCCAUAAAAUUGAGGCAAGUUUGUUAAAAUACCAGCCAUUUAUCUGCUUUCCCCAGUCAGGAAUAGGGAGUUCGAUUCUCCUAAAGAAGGAAAAACUACAAGCCCAAUAAUAGUACCCAGAAGCGCAACAGUAAAAGGAGAACCAAAAAGAAAAAGGAGUUCACAAACGACAGUCUUUAUGUUGAAAUGUUGUACUACAAAAAAGUGUGUAUAUAUUUACGGACAGGACAAAUAAAUUGUAAAACAAACAAAAAAAAAACGACGAGAAGAAAUACAAACAUACGCACAUAAAAUCUAAAAAAGGAAAAAGGAAUAAGAUGAGAGUAGAGAAGAGAAGGCAAAAAACAAACCGAAACAAACUCAUGCAAAUUAAGUUCCUUUCUUCACAUCUUUGUGUUUACAUUGCUUGUUGUUUUCUUUCCCUUUCGCUUUCUCUCUCUCUCUUUCUUCUGCUCUUUACUUUGUGUGUUACAUGCUAUAGGCGUUGCAUUCCUUUCUUAAUCUCCCUUAGCUCUUCUUCACCGCUUUCCACGACUCGCCACACAUCUUAAGCCUAACCAAUAUAUGAUCAGUAACACAUCAUUAUCGCUUCUGUAUGCUUGUUUUGUAGUGUUUCUAGCGCAUCUCGAGAUCUAAUGUAACGGAAAAAUGUUAUGUAAAAAAAUACGAAAAAACGAACGGAAAGCAUACACAAUACGCAUUCUUCCAAUACGCUUCCUACCAUGCACCAACUACCCACCACGGGGUGAGCUUUUUCCAGCAAAAUCGCCGAGAGGAACUUGUUUUCCACCGCCCUGUUUUUCAUAGCGUAGCGAGUCUUGUCUACAGUCGGUCGGGCAUUUUCCGUCCUGAGCUUGGCUGAUUUUUUCCAGUUUCAGUUCAGUUCACGUGCGCCACGUGGGUUGUGUUCCGACUGGGCCGAAGGGGGGAAACGUAACGGGUGUGUGUUUUGCGGAACAGG